rnacentral:rRNA from 1 species
CGGGCUAAUACCGGAUAACACAUGAAACCGCAUGGUUUCAUGAUGAAAGACGGUUUUGCUGUCACUUAUAGAUGGACCCGCGGCGUAUUAGCUAGUUUGUAAGGUAACGGCUUACCAAGGCAACGAUACGUAGCCGACCUGAGAGGGUGAUCGGCCACACUGGAACUGAGACACGGUCCAG